rnacentral:rRNA from 1 species
CAGUAGCCACGGGAAUAUGAAGGGUGCAAGCGUUAAUCGGAAUUACUGGGCGUAAAGCGUGCGUAGGCGGUGAGUUAAGUCUGCUGUGAAAUCCCCGGGCUCAACCUGGGAAUGGCAGUGGAUACUGGCUCGCUAGAGUGUGUCAGAGGAUGGUGGAAUUCCCGGUGUAGCGGUGAAAUGCGUAGAGAUCGGGAGGAACAUCAGUGGCGAAGGCGGCCAUCUGGGACAACACUGACGCUGAGGCACGAAAGCGUGGGGAGCAAACAGGAUUAGAUACCCGCGUAGUCCCUGUCUCUUAUAC